rnacentral:snoRNA from 1 species
AUUCCAUUAUGCUGAUACUUUCUAAUUAUCUCCUUGAAUCUCUCCCAAGCCUCGAAGACCGUUUCAGUAUCCUUCUGGUAGAAGUUUUUGAUUUCCCUACUGAAUUU